rnacentral:rRNA from 1 species
UUCUGGCCUUCAUUAUCGGACGCACAGUCCGCCCCCUUACUUUGAAAAAUUAGAGUGUUCAAAGCAGGCUUUCGCUCCCUACAUUAGCAUGGAAUAACAUGUUAGGACUCCGGUUCCAUUAUGUUGGUCUUCGGGACUGGAGUAAUGAUUAAGAGGGACAGUUGGGGGCAUUCGUAUUUCAUUGUCAGAGGUGAAAUUCUUGGAUUUGUGAAAGACGAACUUCUGCGAAAGCAUUUGCCAAGGAUGUUUUCAUUAAUCAAGAACGAAAGUUGGGGGCUCGAAGAUGAUUAUAUUCCUUCGUAGUCUCAACCAUAAACAAUGCCGACUAGGGAUUGGCGGAUGUUUUUUGAUGACUUCGCCAGCACCUUGUGAGAAAUCAAAGUCUUUGGGUUCCGGGGGGAGUAUGGUCCCAGGGCUGAAACUUAAAGGAAUUGACGGAAGGGCACCACCCUGGCGUGGAGCCUGCGGUUUAAUUUGACUCAUCACGGGGAAAC